AGAGUUUGAUCCUGGCUCAGGAUGAACGCUGGCGGUCUGCUUAACACAUGCAAGUCGAACGGAAGUAGCAAUACUUUAGUGGCGGACGGGUGAGUAACGCGUGAGAAUCUACCUUCAGGACGGAGACAACAGUUGGAAACGACUGCUAACCCCGAUGUACCGCAAGGGCAAAUAUUUAUAGCCUGAAGAAGAGCUCGCGUCCGAUUAGCUAGUUGGGGGGGUAAAAGCCCACCAAGGCGACGAUCGGUAGCUGGUCUGAGAGGACGAUCAGCCACACUGGGACUGAGACACGGCCCAGACUCCUACGGGAGGCAGCAGUGGGGAAUUUUCCGCAAUGGGCGCAAGCCUGACGGAGCAAGACCGCGUGGGGGAGGAAGGCUCUUGGGUUGUAAACCCCUUUUCUCUGGGAAGAACAAAAUGACGGUACCAGAGGAAUCAGCAUCGGCUAACUCCGUGCCAGCAGCCGCGG
rnacentral:rRNA from 1 species